rnacentral:rRNA from 1 species
GAUGAACGCUGGCGGCGUGCCUAAUACAUGCAAGUCGAGCGAACAGACGAGGAGCUUGCUCCUCUGACGUUAGCGGCGGACGGGUGAGUAACACGUGGAUAACCUACCUAUAAGACUGGGAUAACUUCGGGAAACCGGAGCUAAUACCGGAUAAUAUAUUGAACCGCAUGGUUCAAUAGUGAAAGACGGUUUUGCUGUCACUUAUAGAUGGAUCCGCGCCGCAUUAGCUAGUUGGUAAGGUAACGGCUUACCAAGGCAACGAUGCGUAGCCGACCUGAGAGGGUGGUCGGCCACACUGGAACUGAGGCACGGGCCAGGCUCCUACGGGAGGCAGCAGUAGGGAAUCUUCCGCAAUGGGCGAAAGCCUGACGGAGCAACGCCGCGUGAGUGAUGAAGGUCUUCGGAUCGUAAAACUCUGUUAUGAGGGAAGAACAAAUGUGUAAGUAACUAUGCACGUCUUGACGGUACCUAAUCAGAAAGCCACGGCUAACUACGUG